GAUGAACGCUAGCGAUAGGCUUAUCACAUGCAAGUCGAGGGGCAGCAUGGUCUUAGCUUGCUAAGGCUGAUGGCGACCGGCGCACGGGUGCGUAACGCGUAUGCAACUUGCCUCACAGAGGGGGAUAACCCGUCGAAAGACGGACUAAUACCGCGUACACUCUAUGUUGGGCAUCCAAUGUAGAGGAAAUGAAAUUCGCUGUGAGAUAGGCAUGCGUCCCAUUAGCUAGUUGGUGAGGUAACGGCUCACCAAGGCGACGAUGGGUAGGGGAACUGAGAGGUUGAACCCCCACACUGGUACUGAGACACGGACCAGACUCCUACGGGAGGCAGCAGUGAGGAAUAUUGGUCAAUGGGCGAGAGCCUGAACCAGCCAAGUCGCGUGAAGGAUGACUGUCUUAUGGAUUGUAAACUUCUUUUAUACGGGAAUAACAAGAGUCACGUGUGGCUCCCUGCAUGUACCGUAUGAAUAAGCAUCGGCUAACUCCGUG
rnacentral:rRNA from 1 species